rnacentral:rRNA from 1 species
UACGUAGGCAGCAAGCGUUGUUCGGAUUUACUGGGCGUAAAGAGUAUGUAGGCGGUUGCUUAAGUUUGGUGUGAAAUCUCCCGGCUUAACUGGGAGGGUGCGCCGAAAACUGAGCGGCUGGAGUGCCGGAGAGGAACGCGGAAUUCCUGGUGUAGUGGUGAAAUACGUAGAUAUCUGGAGGAACACCGGUGGCGAAGGCGGCUACCUGGCCCAACAUUGACGCUGAGACCCGAAAGCAUGGGGAUCAAACAGG